UGGGGAAUAUUGCACAAUGGAGGGAACUCUGAUGCAGCGACGCCGCGUGAACGAAGAAGGCUUUCGAGUCGUAAAGUUCUUUUAUAUGGGAAGAUAAUGACGGUACCAUAAGAAAAAGCCCCGGCUAACUACGUGCCAGCAGCCGCGGUAAUACGUAGGGGGCUAGCGUUGUCCGGAAUCACUGGGCGUAAAGGGUUCGCAGGCGGAAAUGCAAGUCAGGUGUAAAAGGCAGUAGCUUAACUACUGUAAGCAUUUGAAACUGCAUAUCUUGAGAAGAGUAGAGGUAAGUGGAAUUUUUAGUGUAGCGGUGAAAUGCGUAGAUAUUAAAAAGAAUACCGGUGGCGAAGGCGACUUUCUGGCCAUAAUCUGACGCUGAGGUACGAAAGCGUGGGUAGCAAACAGG
rnacentral:rRNA from 1 species